rnacentral:rRNA from 1 species
GAUGAACGCUGGCGGCGUGCCUAAUACAUGCAAGUCGAGCGAACAGACGAGGAGCUUGCUCCUCUGACGUUAGCGGCAGACGGGUGAGUAACACGUGGAUAACCUACCUAUAAGACUGGGAUAACUUCGGGAAACCGGAGCUAAUACCGGAUAAUAUAUUGAACCGCAUGGUUCAAUAGUGAAAGACGGUUUUGCUGUCACUUAUAGAUGGAUCCGCGCCGCAUUAGCUAGUUGGUAAGGUAACGGCUUACCAAGGCAACGAUGCGUAGCCGACCUGAGAGGGUGAUCGGCCACACUGGAACUGAGACACGGUCCAGACUCCUACGGGAGGCAGCAGUAGGGAAUCUUCCGCAAUGGGCGAAAGCCUGACGGAGCAACGCCGCGUGAGUGAUGAAGGUCUUCGGAUCGUAAAACUCUGUUAUUAGGGAAGAACAAAUGUGUAAGUAACUAUGCACGUCUUGACGGUACCUAAUCAGAAAGCCACGGCUAACUACGU